UCGCCGCUACCGCCUUGCCCUCCACGGCUGGCUCGCCGCACAGCCGUAGCGGCUGUCCCCAAAUCCCCAAUCCUGCACUACGUCGCGCGGCCGUUGCGGCCUGCAGGCGCUUGCGUCUUGCAACCAGCAACCCAAUACAGGGCGACAGGGCCCUGAACCCCAAAUCUGAAGUGCAAUCUCCCUUCAUGAGGUGCCAGCCAACGCAGGGGAAGUUAAUGGAGAUAGUUUUUGAAAAAUCUAUACUUCUAAUAUGCCUGAAAGGAAGGUUGUAGGCUAGAUCGUUAGAAAGAAAGAUGUGUCGAUGUUAUCUUUUGCAACUUUGGAACAAGACAACAUCCAGUGGUGCUGGCACAGCCACAACCACUGCUGGCAAUGCACAAUGAGUGCAUAGGUGCUUCAGAAUGGCUGCAGCGCUGGUCCUACAUUUGGUGGUCAUCAUAAUCUGGGAGUUGGAAUCCAGCAUUUCAGUAAGAAGAUAAUGACCAGGGCUUCUCCAGCCUUUUCUUUAAGCCGCCUUGCAGUUUCGGCAGCUGCUUUCUUCUCUUGCGCCAAGAACUCCCCGAGAGCCGAAUAUUCUCGUGCACUUUCUUCGUCUAUCGUUUUUCUUCUCUCU